rnacentral:rRNA from 1 species
CGGACGGGUGAGUAACACGUGAGCAACCUGCCUUUCAGAGGGGGACAACAGUUGGAAACGACUGCUAAUACCGCAUAAAAUAACGGAACCGCGUGAUUCUGUUAUCAAAGGAGAAAUCCGCUGAAAGAUGGGCUCGCGUCUGAUUAGAUAGUUGGUGAGGUAACGGCCCACCAAGUCGACGAUCAGUAGCCGGACUGAGAGGUUGAACGGCCACAUUGGGACUGAGACACGGCCCAGACUCCUACGGAAGGCAGCAG